rnacentral:rRNA from 1 species
UCUAAGCACACGCCUCGAUACGGUGAAGCCGCGAAUAGCUCAUUACAACAGCCAUUGUUUAUUAGAAUAUCGUUAUUCCUACUUGGAUAACUGUGGCAAUUCUAGAGCUAAUACAUGCGAAAAAGCUCUGACCUUUUUACGAAGGGACGAGCGCAUUUAUUAGAAUAAAAACCAAUCGACCCUCGGGUCGUCCAUUUGGUGAAUCUGAAUAACUUGGCCAAUCGCACAGUCCUAGCACUGGCGAUGUAUCUUUCAAGUGUCUGCCUUAUCAACUUUCGAUGGUAGGUUAUACGCCUACCAUGGUAGUAACGGGUAACGGAGAAUAAGGGUUCGACUCCGGAGAGGGAGCCUGAGAAACGGCUACCACA